rnacentral:lncRNA from 1 species
UCAAAAUGAAUCAUAGUACUUGUGUAGUUGCAUAGUUAUCCUAUUUCUUCACUCGUGGCUAUUGCUUACCCUCGUGUAAGCCGUAUUUGUAUGUUUCCGCUAGUGCACUUCUUGUUUGAAAAUGUACAUGUGAUGAGCCUUGGGCGGACAGGGGAAACUCUGUCCGUUCGGCGUCUGUUUGACGUGCUCGGGCCGGCCCAAAUUGGUAUCGGUCCCGGGGCGUGA